rnacentral:sRNA from 1 species
ACAUGCAAUGCUAAUAUUUUGAAUUUCAAACUAUUUGGCAACCAAGCCUGCAUGAGUAAGCAGGGCAAUAGCCCGGAUUACGAAUGCGGGCGGCAGUUGUGGGAGUGCCGAAGGCAUGUAACAACUGGCUUUCAUUU